AGAGAGGAGACGGUUAGUUCUCAGGGCAGGGCUCAACCCUGAAAGCACGUGCCUCAGAGGACUUGACCAAGUUCAGACACUGCAGAGGCUGGGCUAGAAGCCAGAUCACUGUGUCCAAGGAUGCCAGGACUGCAGAGAAAGGACCCUCCUACCCUCAUGGCAGGGGCUGUGAGCCUGAGAGGUCAGAGUCAAUCAUGUGCCCUGCAGUGAGUGUAGACCAGGAAGACAAAGGCUGAUCAUCCUUCUUACAGAAUAACAGUGCCACAAAGUAUCUGGAGGCGGCCCAAGGUGACCUCUCUCCCACUCCAAUUCAACUGCCAGGAAACCACGAUAAAUUGGAAACACACCGCAGACAUCAAGAGAGAACAAAGAAUCUGACUUCCAGGGACCAGGGGGUGGCACACAGUACAGUGCAUGAGGAUGCAGGUUCAAGCCUCCAGGCUCCACUUGACGGGAGAAAGUUUCAUAAGCAGCGAAGCAGGGCUCCAGGCGUCUUUCUGUUUUCCUCCCUCUCUGUCUCCCCACCCCUCUGUUGAUUUUCCUCUGUCUUCAUCCAAAUAAAUU